AACGAACGCUGGCGGCGUGGAUAAGACAUGCAAGUCGAACGGGAACUCUUUUGGUAGCAAUACUAAAAGAGUUCUAGUGGCGAACGGGUGCGUAACACGUGGGCAAUCUGCCGAGAAGUGGGGGAUAGCUCGCCGAAAGGCGAAUUAAUACCGCAUGUGAUGAGAGUAGACAUCUAUUCGAAAUCAAGGCCGGGGCAACCUGGCGCUUUUUGUAGGAGCCCGCGGCCUAUCAGCUUGUUGGUGAGGUAACGGCUCACCAAGGCUUUGACGGGUAGCUGGUCUGAGAGGACGACCAGUCACACUGGAACUGAGACACGGUCCAGACACCUACGGGUGGCAGCAGUCGAGAAUUUUUCUCAAUGGGGGAAACCCUGAAGGAGCGACGCCGCGUGGAGGAUGAAGGUCUUCGGGUUGUAAACUCCUGUCAUUUGAGAACAAGUGGCCGAACGUAACUGCUUCGGCCUUGAUAGUAUCAGAAGAGGAAGGGACGGCUAACUCUGUGCCAGCA
rnacentral:rRNA from 1 species